ensembl:lncRNA
AAUGAACUCAAAUCAGUGACCAUGACAACAAACUAAACAGAGAAAACAGUCCAAAACAGACCAGGUGUGACAACAAACACGUCAACUUACUCUCAUUAAUUUGCAACUGUCAACUAACUAUAGUUUACAGCUACAUGUCAAUUAGAUCUCAUUAAUUACAACUACGUUAACUCAUUAAUUUACAACUACAUGACAAUUAACUUUAAUUAAUUUACAACAAUUCUUAGAGUAUUAGUAGACUGUUAGGAUAGAGUUAGGAGAAUAAGUUGACAUGUACAUUACUUAUAGUCAAUAGAAUAUCCAUCAAAAUACAGUGCCAGCAGAUGUUAAGCAGGUUUAGUUAGUAGUAGAGUGCAGUUAGUAUAGUUUAACCAAUCUCUAAAGUGGACUAUCAAAAUGAAGUGUUACGUAACAGAUGUGAAUGUUGUGCUCAACGACACUGAAGAAUAAAAGUCAUACAGCAGGAGUUCUGACGUGAUGAAAGAGUUUGUAAGCAGGUUCAGUGUGUACAGUAGGGAACAGCACUAAUGAGUGAAGAUCAUAAUGACUCAUCAGCAGCUCUGGGGGAGGAACACCAGACUCAUGACAAAACCUUGAUGCUGCCAGAACACUCGCUGCCCGCCCAGUCCCACAGUCACACCACCGACACACACACACACACACACACACACACACACACACACACACACACACACACACACACACACACUUCCUUAUGAAACACACACAUAAAGGCCUCCAAUCAUUAUGGCUUCAAAGUCACUGUCGUCAUCGGGUGAAACUCGGUGGAGGGCGUGAGGCUCAUAAUCACACACACACUCGCCGCUUGUGUUUAUUCUCUCGUAAAAUCAACAGUAUCGCGUCGUGCCAAGCGCAGCGUUCAUGCGCUCUUCUCAGAGGACAUUACCAUGGCUGUGCCGCCCAAAACAAAAACACAGCUGACGAGCCUGACUGCAUGAGCCGUGUGCUGGCGUGUGUGUUGAGUGUGUAAACGCUCCAGGGCAGCCCCAGAUCAACUCCAGCGCAUUAGAGACGUGUGUGUGUGUGUGUGUGUGUGUGUGUGUGUGUGUGUGUGUGUGUUACAGAAUCCUCAAUCUGAGAUGGUUUAAAGCUGAAGUUUGUCAUUUUAGCAUCACGAUGCAACUGCAGAAACAUCUGGUUAAAGAAAGCUCUAUUCCAACACGUGAAGUUCAACAUACUUUAACUUAAAAUAAAUUCACUUGUUAAAUAUCUUUGCAGAAAAGAUACGUGAAAUUUAAAGACAAAUAUUGUACUUAAACAUCCUAUAUGUUCAGAAAUGAUAUAAAAUAAGGAAAUGAGAAAAUAUUUCUUAGCAUUACAUUUUAAAGGUCCACUCAAAAAAAACUUAAGAUGUCAGACAGUAUAACAGCAGU